rnacentral:rRNA from 1 species
CGGGUGAGUAACGCGUGGGUAACCUGCCUCAUACAGGGGAUAACGAUUGGAAACGAUUGCUAAUACCGCAUAAGCGCACAGUACCACAUGGUACAGUGUGAAAAACUCCGGUGGUAUGAGAUGGACCCGCGUCUGAUUAGCUAGUUGGUGAGGUAACGGCCCACCAAGGCAACGAUCAGUAGCCGACCUGAGAGGGUGACCGGCCACACUGGAACUGAGACACGGUCCAG